GGGUGUGAGGGCAGUCCGGCCACAACAUAUAUUAUCCCAUUGAUGCCCAAAGGGUGAUUCUGUUGAUCUGACUCACUGGGUAGGUGUCCCCUUCUUCUCUCUACUCCAAUAGUGUAGGACCCAAUAGAGGAAGACCAUUCUUUGGUCAAGAAUAUACAAGCAGCUAUGCUCCUCUGUUAGAACCUUCAAACAGGAUUUCAAGGCCCAUUUAAAGACUGACCUAGAUCUAUCAAUAUCAGAAUCUUUGGGCAGCUCUUGCUUCAAAUGCAUCU
rnacentral:snRNA from 1 species